UAGGGAUAACCGAACCGUGUCCCCCCUCUCACGAAUCAUGUGGGCCCCACGUGUAUUUAAAAAAUCCGAGCCGUGGUUCCCAUCCUAUAUUAUGAGUAUUGGGUAAAAGAUUAGGUAAAAUUUUUAUGUACAUGUAGCAUGGUCCAUAAUAUAAGUGGGUUUAAUUAACUAACGCAUUUUAUUUAAUGGGGCUAUACACCCUUUUAAUAAAGGCAAAAGUCCCAUUUUCUCCAUUCUAACGUAACGUGUUUAAUUAACUAAGACAAUUUAUUUAAAAACUGAAUUUAAUUAAAGUAAAACGGCACAGUGUGGACUUAAUCAAAACAACGUUGCAGGCAAUUUCAAUUUCAGCGAAUGAGAUAUGCUACACCUGACACUUAGGCCGGGAUGAAUCCAGGAAUCUUUUCCAUUGCCUUCACUUCCUCAGGUGAUAAUCUAGCAGCAAAACCUUUAAAAAUAAUAUCAUAGGCAUGGAUAAUGCGAGAUUCCUCAUCUGCUGUGGUUUUGGGCAAAAAUGUUUGAUACUAGCUAAGCAGAUCAUCUGAAGAAUUGGGAGGCGGAUCAACGCGAACAAUAUAUGGUAGCAGAUUACUGUUGCAUAGGAGAGAGAAGAAAAUACAGAAGAAAGUAAGAAACUGCAAGAAACCCAUCAUUCUUUGUGAUUACUGCAAAAGAAAGUAAUAUGUAUGGAAUGCAAUGAAGCUCACAUUAUAGGCGUGCACUAUAAUGACAGUUUCCAGGAUUAAUAACAGAAAACACCCCAGCAAUUGGCUGCCAAGACUUUAUUUUUCACCAGCCAUCAUAUUUCCUUACUCCACCUACUGCCCUAAAUUCCCAACACACAGUGCACAUGUCCACAAGAAAAUACCAAAUAGAUCUGUACUGUCUCUCCAUAGAUUUUAAACAUAUAAUUAUUCAAGAAAGGGCCAAAAUCCCAUAAUUUUAUGUAAAAUAAAUAAAUAAAAAUUGAAGGGAUUUGAUCUAGUUUUCAUACACACGCAACUAGAGGAAAAAAAUGUUAGAAUCCCAUAAAUUAUCGAGGAAAAAAAUGAGGAAAAUUGAUCGGAUAAACGCCCUGUUACGGACGAGUUAAUUUUGAAAAUUUUCCUGCACAUGGAUCCGGAGAUGGUGCUCCGGGGGCUCGGCGGCCAUCCCCUCCAUUUAGGUGCCUCCGCCAGUCCCAUCUCAAUUGACCUCCGCCGGUUUAUCCAUGUUCAUAACAAGUUCUUCCACAAGAGCAUCUCAGUCUCGCCCCAUGUCCAAUCUGUAAGGAACCAAAAUCAGACUCUAUAGCUUAGAUCUCAUAAACAUAACCCAAGAAAUACACAAAUUUCAUCGCACUAAUACCCCAAAAAAUCAUAAUUGAAUGAAUAUCAAAGAGUCCAACCAAACGAGUAACAAGGGCAUCACAGCCAUUGAGAGAAAGCACAAUUCAGGUUUUAACUAAUCGGCGAAUGAAAAGGAGGAAACGGUUUCCACAAUGACUUUUGACCCACAUUUAAGAAAAAAUGCUUAAAAUGUAAAUAAAAGACAAAUGGGCUAAAAUACCCACGAAGAAAAGAAAAGAGAAGAGAAUAGAAGAGAAAAAAAUAAUAAUAAUAAUUUGUGUAGUGGCUCUAAAUUGUGUAAUCUGUAACGAAAAUACAGAGCUGACUCUUAGAAAAUUGAGGCCCUAGGCAACUAAUAAAGCAACAAAUGAUAAACUAAUAAAUUUUAAAAAUGGCUAAUUAAACAUAAUCAUCAGUUAAACUAUGGUAUAUAUUCUCUACACAGUUCCAUCUUCACCAGAUAAUACUAGAUGAUGAUGAUAAACCAAGGGUUUAUUAGGAUGUUUAUCAUGCUUCAACCUUUUCAUUCCUUUUGGUAAGUAUAAAAUCUAUUUCCCCGCAAUUACAUUUGUAAAUAAUAUAACUUCAUUCUUUUUGUACUGUAUAUACAUCAAGCAAUGAAAGUUAAGAAACAUAUUCUUUCAUUCGAGCAGGAAAUUUCCUUAAUCCUUUCCAAAUUAUUGGAACUCCAAUAGAACCUGAAGGCACACAAGUACGUGCACCAAGUAUUCUCUUAUUUAUUUUGCAUUUUCCUUGUCAUCCCAGUUUAAAAUUCAGCCGUUAACAUUAGAAAGUACAUAUAAGCAAAGCUAUUGUACCAUUAGCUUAAUUUUAAUAGACAAACGGUGUCACAAAAUCCAAUGUAAAAUUCAAUAUCCCAAUGUUAUAGAUCAGAUCUAUUAUAGAAUUCAAUGGAUCGAUAAACCUAUAAAAACGACUUUCAUUCAUUCUGAAAUUAGAAAUCUGCAUUUUACGGCAUUCACUUCUAAAUGAACAAUAAAGAAAAAUACAAUCUUGAAAAUAAUACAUGAGACGAGAGAAAUUAAUGAACAUGAAACGAUUACUUGUAAUUUCUUCUGCAAAUCUACUUCUGUGAACUUUAUAAUCGAGAAUUUUUGAAUCUUUUCACCGUCCAUCUUCUAACCUAUAUAAAAAAGGGAUUUACUCUGAGUAAGUGGGUGGAUUUUGGACGGUAUUGGGGGAUGUUUCGGUUGCUCUUCAUUUUGUUUUAAAGCCCCUGCAAAUCUAAGGCCCAAGGCGGCUA
rnacentral:lncRNA from 1 species